rnacentral:rRNA from 1 species
UACGAACCGGCCAAACGUUAUUCGGAAUCAUUGGGCUUAAAGAGUGCGUAGGCGGCGCCGUAAGUCGGGUGUGAAAUCCCUCGGCUCAACCGAGGAACUGCGCCCGAUACUGCGGCGCUCGAGGGAGACAGGGGUGAGCGGAACUGAUGGUGGAGCGGUGAAAUGCGUUGAUAUCAUCAGGAACACCGGUGGCGAAAGUGGCUCACGGGGUCUCUUAUGACGAUGAGGCACGAAAGCUAGGGUAGCGAACGGG